CGGGAUGUGGCCUAACGGCUAAGGCGCUUGGUUUGGGACCAAGAGAUUGUGGGUUCGAAUCCCACCAUCCCGA
rnacentral:tRNA from 1 species